GAUGAACGCUGGCGGCGUGCCUAAUACAUGCAAGUCGAGCGAACGGACGAGAAGCUUGCUUCUCUGAUGUUAGCGGCGGACGGGUGAGUAACACGUGGAUAACCUACCUAUAAGACUGGGAUAUCUUCGGGAAACCGGAGCUAAUACCGGAUAAUAUUUUGAACCGCAUGGUUCAAAAGUGAAAGACGGUCUUGCUGUCACUUAUAGAUGGAUCCGCGCUGCAUUAGCUAGUUGGUAAGGUAACGGCUUACCAAGGCAACGAUGCAUAGCCGACCUGAGAGGGUGAUCGGCCACACUGGAACUGAGACACGGUCCAGACUCCUACGGGAGGCAGCAGUAGGGAAUCUUCCGCAGUGGGCGAAAGCCUGACGGAGCAACGCCGCGUGAGUGAUGAAGGUCUUCGGAUCGUAAAACUCUGUUAUGAGGGAAGAACAUAUGUGUAAGUAACUGUGCACAUCUUGACGGUACCUAAUCAGAAAGCCACGGCUAACUACGUG
rnacentral:rRNA from 1 species